UACGUAGGGUGCGAGCGUUGUCCGGAAUCAUUGGGCGUAAAGAGCGUGUAGGCGGCUUGGUAAGUCCGCUGUGAAAGUCCAGGGCUCAACCCUGGAAUGCCGGUGGAAACUGUCAAGCUUGAGUCCGGAAGAGGCGAGUGGAAUUCCUGGUGUAGCGGUGAAAUGCGCAGAGAUCGGAAAGAACACCAACGGCGAAAGCACUCUGCUGGGCCGACACUGACACUGAGAGACGAAAGCUAGGGGAGCGAAUGGG
rnacentral:rRNA from 1 species